rnacentral:rRNA from 1 species
UACGUAGGGUGCGAGCGUUGUCCGGAAUUAUUGGGCGUAAAGAGCUCGUAGGCGGCUUGUCGCGUCGGAUGUGAAAGCCCGGGGCUUAACUCCGGGUCUGCAUUCGAUACGGGCAGGCUAGAGUUCGGUAGGGGAGAUCGGAAUUCCUGGUGUAGCGGUGAAAUGCGCAGAUAUCAGGAGGAGCACCGGUGGCGAAGGCGGAUCUCUGGGCCGAUACUGACGCUGAGGAGCGAAAGCGUGGGGAGCGAACGGG